rnacentral:rRNA from 1 species
UACAGGCAGGGCUAGCGUUAUUCGGAAUUAUUGGGCGUAAAGGGUGCGUAGGCGGUAGUGUAAGUGAGAUAUUAAAUCCCCGGGCUUAACCUUGGAAUCGUAUCUCAUACUGCACUUCUGGAAUGUGUUAGAGGAAAACGGAAUUCCUAGUGUAGAGGUGAAAUUCGUAGAUAUUAGGAGGAACGCCAAAGGCGAAGGCAGUUUUCUGGGACAUUAUUGACGCUGAGGCACGAAAGCGUGGGGAGCAAACAGG